AUGAUGAGCUAUUUUUGUGUAAAGCUGCUAUUGGCCGUGGAAAGACUAGCUAUGCAUGUCUCAGUUUUAUUGAGCUUAGAUGAAAAUUUGAGUGAACCGACUAAAUUCAUACAAAAAAGGGACCAAGUACAACCCCAAAUUAGAGACACGAUGGGAUGCCCAUCCUGGUCACUAUUAGAUUUUGUUAUUUGUCAUCUAAGAGCUACUAUUAGACUUACAAUCUCGAAUGGCUACUUGUAUUUUUUAAUUUGUUUGUGGACCUGGAAUGGCCAUUAUUUGGGCAUAGGACAUGCUAGUACGUUUUCUGAAAGUUGCAGGAGAGGCAUGCUAUUUAAAAUGGAUAGAUUGCAAAAAAAUUGUACCUCCAUUGGUCAGGACCUGGCCAUGGAAGAAUGA
rnacentral:rRNA from 1 species